CUUUCUUGAGGUGUUGAAAAUAUAAUAUUGUCAUAUCGCAUCAUCUGGAUGCAAUAGCUAAUUAGAAAUGUGUUAUUGGAAAGAGUGAAUGUAAUAUGAGAAGGCAGUAUAAGUUGAGUGUCGAUUGUGUGAUGAAAAUAUGUUGCCAGAUGAAGUAAUGCGCCUGGAUGUGUGUGGUUUGAAAUGGUUCGAAUGAGGAGUUGAAAAGGCAGCAGUGCAGGGUCCAGAGUGCUGCCAAGCGAAAUAUCUACAUGAGAAAAGCACUGGAAUUUAAUUCACCAAGAAAUAAAAAAUCAAGCAAGGAUUUUUUUUUGUAUUUGCGUGGUGUGUGUGUGGGAGUAUUCGUUGCAGCGAGUACGCGAGCAGCGUCUGGCGGUAAACUCACCAAGGAGAGAGGUCCAGUUUUUUGGGGAUCAAGCGAGGCGAGCCUAACAAAGUCGGGGUUGUUCUCCACCUCUCGAGGCAGAUCACAGAGCAGUGCCGAUGAAGUUGAUCUAGCUGCGCAUUCUUCCCUCCUCCUUCUACCCCGCCUCCUCCUCCUAGCCCUCCUCUUCCUCCUCCUCCUCCACCUCCUCCUCCUGCACCACCGAGAGAGGCCUGCCGGGAGUCCCUAAUGCAGUGUUGCGGAAGCGGUGUUGUUGAAAGUGGCGUCCCUUAGUGUUUUGAUCGCUCACAAUGUUGCGGGAAUGUCUGGCACGCCUCAGAGUCCUUGCCUUCAUCGUUUUCCUUCCCAGUCCUCUGUCCUUUCCUUCCAAGACAUCUUCCUUCCUUCAUAUCCUUCCAUGUUCACGUCACUCCUUUGCCUCUCUUCCAUGCCCUCUUCAUUUUCCUUCCCAGGCCUCCUCUUGACAUCCCUCUUUCAUUCAUCUUCUUUCAUUCAUAUCCUUCCAUGCUCUUUUUCUUCAUGUUUUUCAUUCAUAUCCCUCCUUCAAUGUUGCCUCUCUUCCUUGCCCUGUUCAUUUUCCUUCCCAGUCCUCUCCAUGACAUCCCUCUUUUAUUCAUAUCCUUUCAUUUUCUUUAAUUCAUCCUCUUUCAUUCAUUACCUUCCUUGUUCACAUCAGUCCUUUGCUUCUCUUGCAUAUCCCCUUCUCAUCUCAGUUCCUUUUCUCAUAUUGAUAGCUAUUAUUUUUCCAUCGUCUUCCCCCUCACGUCUUAGGUACUAUUUUGCCUCUACCUUUUUCCGAUAUCUCCUUCGUCUCCUACUCUCUUUAGUGACAACCAUCUCUAAUAGCUCUCAUCUAAUCGUCCACUAACUCUACCUUCUUUGCUUGACUCUUUUCAUCCCCUAUCUGUCUCUCCUGACCUCCCUCCUUACCUGUCCUCCUCUGCCCCGCCACUGCCCCAUCAUCUUCGACUCGGCCCAACAGCAUCUCGGCAUCUAUUCAAGACUGUGGAAUCUCCCAAGACGAAACGUUGCGCCGAUGAGAUCGUCGUGAUACUGGCUGACCUCUCCCUUCUGCCAUGCCUGAGGUCAACCCGCCUGACGUGUGUUGUAGUUACCCCGCCGUGCUGGGAGGAAGGGGAGAAGGAUGGAGAGGAGGAGAAGGCUGAGAAGCCGAGACACCACCACAGCUACACACUCAGGAGGAAAAGGUUGAGAAACAGCCCUGAGUUGCUGCUCGGCCGCGUCCGGUGAAGGUCGUGGUAAGGGGAGACGGAGAGCAGCGGAGGGGGACAGCGGGGCCAGAGGACACGGGGCCGGGGGCGCGAGGACAGGCGGCGGCGUGAGGUAAUGUUUCCUUCGUUGCUCGGCUUCGUGUUCAUUUAUUUUGGCCACCAAGGACUCGCUUCAUCUGACUUCCGUGUCGUCUCAACCUCCGAAUUUUUUUCCCAUUUGCUUUUUCCUCCACGCGAGUACAGUUUUAGUUGCGUUAGAUAGAGUUUCACUAUAUAAAAACCUAAUAUAUUUUCUUUUUAUUCUCUCUCGGUUCUUACUACCACGAAUAAUGACCUUCACAGCCUUAUCCUUCUCCUCCAUCACGGGUUUUGCAUUUGCUCUUCAUUUAUAGAUCUAAUACCUUUUCAUCCUGAUCCAGACUUCUUUUCAUUAUAUCUCUUUUUCCUAACCUUACCUCUAUCCCCUUCUUCUCCCUCUCCUAUCCUUACCCUAUUCCCUUUUUCUCUCCCUCCUAUCCUUACCCCCUGUUCCCCUCCGCCCUCUCCUAUCCUUACCCCCUGUUCCCCUCCGCCCUCUCCUAUCCUUACCCCCUAUUCCCCUCUUCUCCCCCACCUAUCCUUAUCCCCUAUUCCCCUCCUCUCCCUCCCCAGCAGUGUUGUGUGCUAGAGGACAACUCAUUAGUGUGUGGAGGUUGUGUUUCCUAAUGAAUGGCGAUAAGGUUACGCAAGGAAGAGGGAAUGAGACGCGAGAAGCCGAGACAGUUGAGAAGGAAGAGGCAAGGAAGGGAUGGAAAUAAGGAAGGAUGGUGAAAAGAUUGUUAUUUUCUUUAUUUUGUUUACUUUGAUGUGUUGCUAAUCCCACUAAUGAUUUAAAUUUGCUUACUCUAAUAUUGUUUUGUAUUUUUUUGUUUCUUACUUACAUUCAAACUAAUAAUUUACUCCAUCUUCUUUUUUUCAAUCCUCUCAUCCAUAGCCUUCGAAUUCUUUGUUUGGUACAUUAACAUAAUCCUUUAUACUCAUCCUCCUACUUCUUUCUUCACUCCUCACCUUAUCUCUUGUUAUUACAUAUGCUUUGAAUAGUACAUGCUCUAUGCUUAUCGCCAUCAUUACAUUUCAUUUACAUUAUCUUUCCUUUCCAUCCUUAUCCCUUUGACUUUCCUCGAUUUCUAUGUAGUUUUUUUUUUUUUCCUGCAGUGCCGCAUGUCUGUUCUCACCCCGUUUUAGUUGCAUGCCUUUUACAUUACAAGUUUUAUCCUCCCGUAAUUCCUUCCACUCACUCUUUCAGGUUUUCUUGCCGCCUUUCCUGCAGUGCCGCGUCUGUGUGUACCCUGCGUGGUGUGCGUUGCCAAGGUCAGCUGGGGGUGGAGGAGGGGCGGCGCGGACAGGCCCAGGCACGUUCCCAAACAACACCUCCACCUGCCUCCACCGGGAUUUGUUUGCACGUGGAGCUGGGAUGACUCUCGGAGCUUCCAGUAGAAGUUUGGACAUUUUUUCCUUUUUGUUCUAUUGAGUGAGUGUAAGGGAUUGGCUCUAGAAAGAUGGGAUAUAGAGAGAGAUGAAAGAAAAAAACGUUGAUCUUGUGAGGAAGACCAUUUUUUUUUUAAGUACAGGUAGAAGUGGAUGAAUUAAUGAAAAAGGUUAGAUUCUCUGCUAUGGAUGGGCGUGAAGAGGAACUGGAAUGUGGCAGAAAGGAGAAAAGAAAAUCCUAAAGGCAAGUGAUGGUGUCAAUGGCAGCAAAGUUGUGAACAUAAUUAUUUUCCUUUGCAAAUGUUUUUUAUCUAAAAUUUUGACGGCUAUUUUCUGUCCGUUCUUUAUCUUCCUGACUCAGUAUCAGUAUUUGCUCUGCUUGUUGCCUCUCAGAUCGUUUCGUUCCUUGGCAUUUUUCCCUCACUUAGGUCAGCUUAUUUGCCUUUUAAACUGAAGACACCAUCACGUUCCCCUAGUUCUGCUUAUUGAUCGUCGUAGUCACCGUCGUAACCAUUAAUUAUUAACAUUUAAUUACCUUUAACUCACCUGCAUUGCUCACCUCCGCAUCCCCGACGCAACUCAACCCAUCCCGUCUCCGUCCCUCUCCGGUGUCCGCGGGCGCCGCAGCCUCGCCGCACCGUGACGUCACGAAACAGGAGCCGCGGUGCCGCUCGACUAGUUCAGUGGAGGUUGGCACGUCCGGGACUGUCCUCACAAAGGCGUCGCGCUUUUUUCUUUACGGUUCCGUGCUUCAUCAAUAGCGGAGCGAGCCUGGGCUAGGGUCUGCAGCGCCUGGUCGCCGCCUGCCGGUGCGUCAUACGUUCAUGCAGUCAUGGCCUCUCAUAACAAAGUUACUGGUUUACCCCAGCUGUAUCGUUCUUCGUUCCUCACUUGGCUGCUUUAAUUUCCACUCCUUCUCUUACUAAUCAACAAACAAUGUGAUAUGUUUGACGUAUCGUAGGUGAGCAGGGAGAAAGGAGUGG